rnacentral:lncRNA from 1 species
ACACCGUGACAAAUAAGCCAGGUUUUGCCUGGCAUUCUGCAGAAGCAUUGCUGUAUCUUACCAGACAGGAAUACAGAUGAAGACCCCCAGGCCCAGGGAAUUCGAUCACUGGCUGAGAACUCACAGCUAAGGAGGGGGAGCCUGGGAUUCCUUCCUGGUGCUCACACCCGAGACCCUUUUGUCACUGUGUUCAAAGGCACUGCUGCACAGACGUGAUUCUUCUUUCAACGAACAUCUCCAGGACUUCCUCCGGGGUCUGUGACCUCAUCUAUAAUUAAAGGGAAAGAGAUCUUCCUGAGAUUAGCCCAUUUAACUUGUUUAACUAGAUGCAUGCUGCAAAAACUGUUUUCAAGAAAUGAACAAUUGACUAUUUAAAAAGAGCCAAGCCUUAAAAGAAGACCAGGUUUUAAUAGGGAAAACAUUCAGUAAAAUAUUAUUCUGCAGUAACUUGUGGAAUGACUGCUGUACACACAGCUCUGGGCUGGGUACCUGGAAGCUCACGAGCUUGUUUGGCCUCCCCUCCUGGACACAGGAGGUGUCAAGGCUGUGGUCAGCAGAAUCUACCCAGCUGGACACUGAGUGGACGCCCUGUGGGGUGGCUGUGAAAUGGGUCCACUUUGUAGUGGCAGCAUCCCUGAUAGUACUUCUGAAAGGGACAAGAUAGAAAAGCAAACCAAACUGAAACUGAGAAGUCGUGGAUGAUACCAGGGGCGCACAGUGGCUGACAGGAAGAGACUGCCUGGGGGGUCUCGGAGCCAGUGGCUGGAGUGGAGUUAGUUUGACCGAGUCCUGGACUAGGGAGGGGACCCCCAAAGCAUGCCCAGCAUGGCGCUAGUGGGGCCCAGGCACCCCAUGUCCCAACGACUAGAACCAAUAAUCAGGUUAACACUCAUUAAAUAAGAAGUGUCUGUGCCUCCUGGGAUAAAAAUCCUUUAUAACGAUCUGGGACGCGAGCUCAAGUCCCUGUUCCCUUGUCCUCCACAGCAGUGUGCAGCGUGGAACUCGGCGGUUCGGGGUCCCUGAGUCCCUGAGCCACUGUCUACCCCCUGCUCCAUCCCAAAUGCAGAGACCCCUGAGCACUCAUGUGGACAUGCCCCACCAUGCCCUGGCUGCUCCUUCAGGAUGGCGCAGGGCCACCGCUAUGGGAGGACUCUAAAGGGUGGGUCUCAAGCCCUCCUCUGCUUACCCUAAAUCAGGAGAGCAAACCGAAUGCACUGCCCUCUUCCUUCACUCCUGCAUCCCAUCCCCCGCUAUGGCCUCACUAUCAGGUCUGCUGUGUGCCAAAAUAUUUUACCAUGCCCUAAAAGUGAGAUGUUGGAAGUGGACAAGGAGGAAAUAUUUAUGAAUAUUUGAGUCUGUUAUUCUUUAUGUUAAGCAUUUUGGCUUCUGUUGUACUCCUAAAUCACUACUGAGAGCAGAGAAAGAGCUCUUUGUAGAAAUGAGAUGUGUUCCUGUGUGCUGCCUGUGACGCAUCCCGUUGUCACCGGAGUGCCGUGGCCCUAAGGAAUGACAGCAUUAAGGCAUGGACGUUAAAGAUGGACAAAAGAAUUGUUCACGGUGUUGUAUUUUAAAAUGACUAUGUGUAUGACAAUUAAACUAUUGUGUCUUCGUUUACUCCAUGUGUUCUGCCUGACAGCUGGG